GAAUGGCGUAAUGAUGGCCAGGCUGUCUCCACCCGAGACUCAGUGAAAUUGAACUCGCUGUGAAGAUGCAGUGUACCCGCGGCAAGACGGAAAGACCCCGUGAACCUUUACUAUAGCUUGACACUGAACAUUGAGCCUUGAUGUGUAGGAUAGGUGGGAGGCUUUGAAGUGUGGACGCCAGUCUGCAUGGAGCCGACCUUGAAAUACCACCCUUUAAUGUUUGAUGUUCUAACGUGGACCCGUUACCCGGGUUGCGGACAGUGUCUGGUGGGUAGUUUGACUGGGGCGGUCUCCUCCUAAAGAGUAACGGAGGAGCACGAAGGUUGGCUAAUCCUGGUCGGACAUCAGGAGGUUAGUGCAAUGGCAUAAGCCAGCUUGACUGCGAGCGUGACGGCGCGAGCAGGUGCGAAAGCAGGUCAUAGUGAUCCGGUGGUUCUGAAUGGAAGGGCCAUCGCUCAACGGAUAAAAGGUACUCCGGGGAUAACAGGCUGAUACCGCCCAAGAGUUCAUAUCGACGGCGGUGUUUGGCACCUCGAUGUCGGCUCAUCACAUCCUGGGGCUGAAGUAGGUCCCAAGGGUAUGGCUGUUCGCCAUUUAAAGUGGUACGCGAGCUGGGUUUAGAACGUCGUGAGACAGUUCGGUCCCUAUCUGCCGUGGGCGCUGGAGAACUGAGGGGGGCUGCUCCUAGUACGAGAGGACCGGAGUGGACGCAUCACUGGUGUUCGGGUUGUCAUGCCAAUGGCACUGCCCGGUAGCUAAAUGCGGAAGAGAUAAGUGCUGAAAGCAUCUAAGCACGAAACUUGCCCCGA
rnacentral:rRNA from 1 species